GGCGCAGCUUGGUUAGCGCGCUUGACUGGGGGUCAAGAGGCCGGAGGUUCAAAUCCUCUC
rnacentral:tRNA from 1 species